AGCGAACGUUAGCGGCGGGCCUAACANAUGCAAGUCGAGCGAGAAAGUGGCUUCGGCCAUCAGUAAAGCGGCGGACGGGUGAGUAACACGUAGGUAAUCUUCCCUUGAGCGGGGGACAACGUUUCGAAAGGAACGCUAAUACCGCAUACGUUCCCAGGAGCUUCGGCCCCUGGGAGGAAAGCUAGGUCGCAAGAUCCGGCACUCGAGGAGGAGCCUGCGUCGCAUCAGCUAGUUGGGGGGUAACGGCCUACCAAGGCGAAGACGCGUAGCUGGUCUGAGGGGAUGAUCAGCCACACUGGGACUGAGACACGGCCCAGACUCCUACGGGAGGCAGCAGUGGGGAAUAUUGGACAAUGGGCGCAAGCCUGAUCCAGCCACGCCGCGUGAGUGAUGAAGGCC
rnacentral:rRNA from 1 species